GGGCAGAACACAAGGGCAAAUCAACAAGUCAGGAACUAAACAAAACACAAGGGCAAAUCAACAAGUCAGGAACAAAACAAGUCAGGAACAAAACAAGUCAGGAACAAAACAAGUCAGGAACAAAACUAGUCAGGAACAAAACUAGUCAGGAACAAAACUAGUCAGGAACAAAACUAGUCAGGAACAAAACAAGUCAGGAACAAAACUAGUCAGGAACAAAACUCAAGUACAUGGAAGUCAGGGAACAAACACAAGCAGGCAGGUACAUGGAAGUCAGGGAACAAACACAAGCAGGCAGGUACAUGGAAGUCAGGGAACAAACACAAGCAGGCAGGUGCAUGGAAGUCAGGGAACAAACACAAGUAGGCAGGUACAUGGAAGUCCGGGAACAAACACAAGCAGGCAGGUACAUGGAAGUCAGGGAACAAACACAACUCGGGAACAAACACAAACAGGUAAAAAAAAACGCAGGCAGGUAUAAAUGGUCUGAACAUUCAUCGGCAACAAACACAAGGAACCAGCACCCGAGUCAAGGGAACAGAGAACUUAAAUAGACAGGGGUAACAAGACACAGG